UGAAAACUGAUUUUGGGCUUUCUGUGCUGUCAGGCACUGACCCCCUGGAGAACAUUGCUUUUGACCUGAGACCUUGGAGACAGCUUCUAAAUUUGAGUGAUGGAGUUAAAAUCACGAGUGUGUAGUGAAAUAGAAUUGUGUGCUUUCACAGGGUGAUGGGUUUUAAAUUUGAAAUUUUUAUAGUAUAGUAAUAGGUA